CCCCAUAGCCGACGCGUAAGUCCACUGGGCAUUAGAUGUUUUCUUGAUUUGAACCCAUUGCUUAUCUGAGGAUUUUUAAUUUGUUCUUUUGUAGGAAGCAAAUUGGGAGGAAAAUGAGGAAAUGAGGAAAGAUUUCAUGUGGAAGAUGGUACUCAAACUGCAUCUUAAAGGAAGAGAGAAAAUCUCUGAGGCAGAGAUAAGGAGGGAGUCCAUUCCAGGCCUGUGGGAUGGCCAGGAUAAAGACAGAGAAGGGACAUGGAAUGCUAUUUUUGAGGAACAGGAACAAGGCUAGUUCGGUUUGAUCAAAGAGGGGGUGAAGGAGAGCAACAUUCAAGGAAGCUGGGAAAAUAGACUGGGACUAGUGUGUGAAGGACUACAAACUCAGCAGAAGAGGCUGUAUUUUCAUCUCUCUCGAGGUAAUAGGAACCACUGGAGUCGAUCGACAGGGGAAUGACACGUUCAGACCUGUGCUUUAGGAAAAACCCUUUGGUAGUAGUAUGUGUGGGGGAGAGGGGAAAGGAACUUGGGUCGGGGAGACCAGUUGGGAGGCUGCCACAAGAGUCUAGGUGAGAGGAGAGGAAGAUCUGAAUUAAGGUGAUGGCUGUACACAGUGAGAGAAAGGGUUGGAUGGAAGAGAUGCUGUGGAGGUAGAAAUAACAAGGUUUGGGAACUGAUUAACUAUGUGGGGGUGGGCGAGGAUGAAGAGCCAUUAUGACACGGAGGUCAUGGACCUAGGGGCACCCUCUCUUCACUCGGCAGUGCUGGACACACGUUGUUGUUUGUCCUUCGUUUUCAAAGGGGGCCGGUGAUGGGGGUCAGGGUACAGUGUGUUCAGCUGUGGCCCAUCAGCCCAGCACAAGUUCAGAGGGCUCUGCCAUUGGCCAGGCACAAGUUGUCUGUUAGAACAUUUGGGAUGGAGAUGUUCACGUUUCCUCUCUCUGUGCUUUGCUCACGGAGUGCCGCAGCACCUUCUUUAAUGCAGGCAUGCCAUUCCAGGCAGUCCUGGGCCAGCAUCUCCCAUUUGUAUAGAUGUGAAUUUGAAAAAUGAAUCAGUGAAGGAAUGGAUUAAGGGAAUAAAUGGAGAACGGAGAGAGUAAAUGGGUAAACAAAUGAGUGAGUGAGUGAAUAUCAGUGACUGAAUGAACUGGUGAGUUCCAUGUAAAAUGAAUGAGUGAACCAAUAAAUACAAGAACAAUCCAAAGAAUGACUGAAUGAGAUGUGUUGAAUUUGCUAAUGAAUAAUUAGCAAUUAUUCCAAUAAUUCCAAAUGAAUAAAUGAGUAAGCACCUGAAUGAGUUCCACAAGUUUACUUCUGUCCAUAUCCCAUCUUGCCCCUCACUUACAGUAGUACAUAGAUUCCAGUCCAGGGUGGGCAACGUUAACAUUGACAUAGAGAAGUGGGACAGCUUGUUGAAUUAGACCCAGGCCAGAUUCCAGAGCAGAUCUCGAGUCUCUGGAUCUAUGUCCUCCGUAAGAGGAGGGCAGCUCAUUAUUUAGACCCUGGGAAGUGGUAGGCGCCUCUGGGAAAGGGUUAGAGGUCAGUUCCCAAACACUUAGCUGAGUGGCACCACUUCAAACCCACACAUCUAGCAGAGGUGACCAAGUCUCCAAGGCUGGCCAGCCAUGAAGAUGACCAAAGCAGGUGCUGGGAAGUGCCUAGAGUUUGAUCAGAUAUUGGAGACCCCGAGAUCAUCCACUGCAUCCCAGGCCAUCACCAGUCGUUCUGGCUUUUGUCUUGCCAUUGGACUUAGAUGACUGUGGAAGAGAGAUUGAGGCCAGUGACUUUGUACAACUCUGCCUGACUUAAAUCCAACUUACGAGCUAGUAAAGACAUCACCCUAUGAUGUCAUUGGUCCUCUUCAACAAAAGAUGAACAACAAAAAGUGAAUACAAAUGUAUUUAUUAAAGUUGCAUUCAUGCUGCAUAUA